rnacentral:piRNA from 1 species
UGCAAAACCUCACCCAUGUAGUGUGUGCA